AGUGAACGCUGGCGGUAGGCCUAACACAUGCAAGUCGAACGGCAGCACAGUAAGAGCUCGUUCUUACGGGUGGCGAGUGGUGGACGGGUGCGGAAUACAUCGGAAUCUACUUUUUCGUGGGGGAUAACGUAGGGAAACUUACGCUAAUACCGCAUACGACCUACGGGUGAAGGCAGGGGAUCUUCGGCCCUUGCGCGAUUGAAUGAGCCGAUGUCGGAUUAGCUAGUUGGCGGGGUAAAGGCCCACCAAGGCGACGAUCCGUAGCUGGUCUGAGAGGAUGAUCAGCCACACUGGAACUGAGACACGGUCCAGACUCCUACGGGAGGCAGCAGUGGGGAAUAUUGGACAAUGGGCGCAAGCCUGAUCCAGCCAUGCCGCGUGGGUGAAGAAGGCCUUCGGGUUGUAAAGCCCUUUUGUUGGGAAAGAAAAGCAGCAGGUUAAUACCCCGCUGUUCUGACGGUACCCAAAGAAUAAGCACCGGCUAACUUCGUG
rnacentral:rRNA from 1 species